UGUAAACUUUGCAAAACCGCUGUCAGCCCCUCCUUCAAAACCUCUGUCCUGUCCCGUCCCUUCUACAAAUCCUGUACUGCCUCGUCUACAAAACCCCCGCAACCCCCUUCCACAAAUCCUCUGGUUAUCCCCCCUUAUAAAGACUCCUGUCCCAAUACAAAACCCCCGCCCCCUUCUACAAAAUCCCUGCAGCCCCACACACAC